GGGGAGCCCAGACCUGCCGAACCACGUGGGCGAGCGGUGACCUGUACCACGGCGCAGACGCGGGCGAGCUGCGGCUCGGACGCCAGCGGACACGCGGGCGAGCCAAGCACUGAUGUCCUACAUCCCCCUGAGCCUAGGAUGGGAACUCCCUCCUAAGGAACCUCCACAUUCCCAAGGAGGACAUGGAGACUCCAAAAAAGGAAGUGAUUCCACAGAGUCCACACAGCUGCUGAGAAGUCAGCUGGCUCCUGGCACCUACGUCCUGGCUGGACCCUACCCCCCAGGCUUGAGGGCUGAGGCAAGGAUCAUGGGAGUUUCAGGUAAUACCAGGCUCAAGGCCCCCCAUGCCGGAAGGGGCUGGCACCUCCCUGCUGGGGAUCUUUUCUAGAGCCCCAGGGCCUCCUAGCGGGGGAAAAAAGCAGUGAGCCGGCUGGUCCCACUUCCCUGGUCCGUGGCCUUCACUCAGCUGAAAGGCACGUCGUUCUAGAAGCCCUAAGCAGGCUUCUUCAUGGACAGCAUUUGGCACAGUGACUGGGUGUAAGGGGGAGAUUCGGGGACAGGGUAUUUGGAACAUCUCACCCUUCACCCUCACAUUCCCUCCCUCCCUUGAGUGUCCAGAGCAGGGCUGAAUGGGUGGCAAUUGGAGACUUCACAGUCAUGUAUGUUUCCACCCCCCAGGGCACCAUCAAAAGUAAAUUAACAUUUUUUCCAUUUCCCCUUUAUUGCAAACACGUUGAAUACUGUUGCACAAACUCCGUCUCUCCCCUGGCUUCCUUACUCCCUGGUUUCCUGGCCUGGGCUUCCAGGGCAGGGCUGGCUAAGGGUGAGAAGGUAGGUCUCAUGCCCCUCCCUGGGCUCCAAGACCCUGCUGCUCCCAGAGACACAGCCAAGUG
rnacentral:lncRNA from 1 species